rnacentral:lncRNA from 1 species
UUCCGGGGUGACAAGGAAAAGUAAUUACGGUAUGGUAUCUGCUUACUUAUGCACCCCUGAUCAAGCAGUGCUCCCUCAAUAAUAGCACUCUAAAAUAAACAAAAAAUUUAACUCAUAAUCUUAUUUGUGAAAAAAGAAUGCUGUGAAAAAUAUAACAUAUCAUCAAUUUUUCAUUUCCAAGAUAUGAUGUAAAAACGAGUCACUAAAAUAAACAACCAAUAAUUACACGUACCUUUUUCAACAAAUUAAUCAAACAAUGUUGUACAAACUAACUUUGAGAGUGAGGAACCGUAAAAGGUAGGUGCUUUGGCCUUCCUCCACGCAUUAUAUACCGAAGAAAAGAUUACAUGUUGUCUAUAGAUUUCCUCGGGAUUGACAAAAAUACAGAAGAAAACCACCAGCUAGACAAAAUUGACACAAGUCCUCAUCCUGCUCCGCUUCAAGAUCAUGACGAUGACAACGAUGAUGGUGAUGAGCAGUUGUCAUCAGGUGCAGCAGGUUGUUGUGCAUGAUCUAGAUUAGGGUACUCACUACGCAUCAUCUCUCCUCCAAUACGAUCAAAGAUAUUCGCAAUCAAGUCCUCAUAAUCAUCUCAUUCAUCUGUUGUUCUUAUUCCCGUCUCGAUCUCAUCUGCAACAGAGGCCGCAGCAGCAGCAGCAGGAUCAGA